rnacentral:lncRNA from 1 species
AGCUUAGAUAUGUAAAAUGUAUCUAUCCAGAUAAGUUCACUACAUUUAUCCAUUAUCAUUCUUUUAUAUUCUACAGUCAUAGAGUAUUUGUAGCUGUGAGAUGCAAGGAUAUUGGCCAGACCUUUCUAGAAAAAAUUAAAUUGGGAAACAGAGAGAAGAAGAGAAACCUGUUCUCAUUCUUAAGUCUUCAUAUAAGAAACAAUUGAUGGAAAGGGAAGGAAUGCCAUAGAGGGUUGCCUGGAUUGCAACGUGGAAUUGCCAUUCACAGUCCCAGGGACCAGACUUGAGAUGACUCUCAAAUCCCACUGGCCUGAGUAAUAGUCCUUAAAAUUUCAAAAUAUUGUCCUUAUUAUUUUUGAUAGUACAGUGAAGUAAAAGAAAACACACCUAAGAAUUUGUAGUCUUCCAUGACAACUGAAGACAUUAUGUCCUGGGAAAAGCAUUAGGUAAGGAACAUUAAAUCUGCAACACUUGAAAAACUAGAAGUCA